UGGUGGCGCAUGCUUGUAGUCCCAGCUGCUCGGGAGGCUGAGGCAGGAGAAUCGCUUGAACCCAGGAGGGCUCUUCCUCCAAGAUCAGGAACAAGACAAAGAGACCUGCUUCUACCACUGCUAUUUAACAUUGUACUGGAGGUGCUAGCCAGAACCUUUAGAAAAAAAAAAAGAAAAGAAAAGAAUUAAAAGCAUCCAGAGAGAAAAGGAGGAGGAAGAAGAGGAGGAGGAGGUGAAACUGAUGAUAAAAACCCAUCCAAGAAUGUAAAUGUGACAUCUGCAGCAGGUUCAAAUCUAAGCUAUAAGACAAACGGAAUCCUUCGUAAGGACUGUCAUCUAUUAUGCACAGAGAGCCGAAAUCCAUUACUGAAAUUCUCUUGGUGAGCCACCUGAUGGGCCCAGUGACGUACUAGUACACACAGGAGUUGAAACAAAAAAAAGUCUGGCAUAUUCUUUGGAUGACUGGCAGAGUGUGACACCAAUAUGGUACCCAGCCCUACUAUCAUUACAAGGACUUCAUGACCAAAAAAAUAAUAGAGAAUUGUUUUGGUGGUUAAAACAAUUAAAAGCAUCCAAAUUGGAAAGGAAGAGGUAAAAGCAUCUCUAUUCACAGAAACAUAAUCUUAUUUAUAGAAAACACUAAACCUUCCACACACACACACCCCAAAUAAAACACCUGUUAGAAUUAACAAAC
rnacentral:lncRNA from 1 species